rnacentral:ncRNA from 1 species
AAGAGGGACAACUCGGGGGCAUUCGUAUCCCUGCGCGAGAGGUGAAAUUCGUGGACCGCAGGGGGACGCCCUAAAGCGAAAGCAUUUGCCAAGAAUGUCUUCAUUAAUCAAGAACGAAAGUCAGAGGUUCGAAGGCGAUUAGAUACCGCCCUAGUUCUGACCGUAAACUAUGCCAUCUAGCGAUCCAAUGGGGUAUUGUAGCCUUGUUGGGGAGCUUCCCGGAAACGAAAGUCUUUCGGUUCCUGGGGUAGUAUGGUUGCAAAGCUGAAACUUAAAGAAAUUGACGGAAGGGCACCACCAGGAGUGGAGCCUGCGGCUUAAUUUGACUCAACACGGGAAAACUCACCCGGCCCGGACACCGUUAGGAUUGACAGAUUGAAAGCUCUUUCUCGAUUUGGUGGUUGGUGGUGCAUGGCCGUUCUUAGUUGGUGGAGCGAUUUGUCUGGUUUAUUCCGAUAACGAGCGAGACUCUAGCCUGCUAAAUAGUGUCCAGAUAUAUAAGUCUGGCUUACUUCUUAGAGGGAUAAGCGGUGUUUAGCCGCACGAGAUUGAGCGAUAACAGGUCUGUGAUGCCCUUAGAUGUUCGGGGCUGCACGCGCGCUACACUGGAAGAAUCAGCUGGUCCUUCCAUUGCCGAAAGGUAUUGGUAAACCGUUGUAAACUCUUCCGUGACCGGGAUAGGGAAUUGUAAUUAUUUCCCUUGAACGAGGAAUUCCUAGUAAGUGUGAGUCAUCAGCUCACGUUGAUUACGUCCCUGCCCUUUGUACACACCGCCCGUCGCUGUCCGGGACUGAGCUGUUUCGAGAAGAGUGGAGACUGCUGUAUUGGGGCUUUCGGGCUCUGGUAUGAUGGAAACCAUUUUAAUCGCAAUGGCUUGAACCGGGCAAAAGUCGUAACAAGGUAUCUGUAGGUGAACCUGCAGAUGGAUCAUCG